rnacentral:tRNA from 1 species
CAAAAUUUAACAUAAUAUAAUGUAUCUCACUUACACUGAGACAAUGAUUAAUAAUUAUAAUCAGUUUUGA